rnacentral:rRNA from 1 species
GAUCAUGGCUCAGGAUGAACGCUAGCUACAGGCUUAACACAUGCAAGUCGAGGGGAAACGAUAUUGGAAGCUUGCUUCCGGUAGGCGUCGACCGGCGCACGGGUGAGUAACGCGUAUCCAACCUGCCCACCACUUGCGGAUAACCUUGCGAAAGUAAGACUAAUACCCAAUGAUAUCUCUAGAAGACAUCUGAAAGAGAUUAAAGAUUUAUCGGUGAUGGAUGGGGAUGCGU